UCGCUGUAGGUGAACCUGCAGCGGGAUCAUU
rnacentral:rRNA from 1 species